UGGGGAAUCUUGGACAAUGGGCGCAAGCCUGAUCCAGCAAUGCCGCGUGUGUGAAGAAGGCCUGCGGGUUGUAAACCACUUUCAGGAGGGAAGAAGCGCAAGUGACGGUACCUCCAGAAGAAGGCCCGGCCAACUACGUGCCAGCAGCCGCGGUAAUACGUAGGGGCCUAGCGUUGUCCGGAAUUAUUGGGCGUAAAGAGCUCGUAGGCGGCCCACCAAGUCGGAUGUGAAAUCUCAAGGCUCAACCUUGAAACUGCAUCCGAUACUGAUGGGCUUGAGGCAGGUAGGGGAAGGUGGAAUUCCUGGUGUAGCGGUGAAAUGCGCAGAUAUCAGGAGGAACACCGGUGGCGAAGGCGGCCUUCUGGGCCUGUACUGACGCUGAGGAGCGAAAGCGUGGGGAGCAAACAGGAUUAGAUACCCCCGUAGUCC
rnacentral:rRNA from 1 species